rfam:Populus trichocarpa isolate Nisqually-1 chromosome 4, whole genome shotgun sequence.
UAAUCUGAUUGAAUCAAAUCCUUAUCUAAUUGUGUCAGAUUCUCACUCGAAUGCUCAUAAUUUUUUGUUUCUACAAAUAUGAUUGUAUCAAAAACUAUAUUUGUGGUUGUUUUUUUAUU